ACCUCAUAUUACCUACUUCAAACUGCUUUCUCUGAAUUGGAAUGGCGAGAGAAUUCUGAUGGAGACCUUCAGAUUGGGGAAAUUUUUUAAGUGACUUUUAAAAUGGGCGGCUUCAUAGUGGGGAUAGUGGGUUUUGAAAAUAUGGUCACCUAGCUACCUCGAAUCUUCAUUGGUAGAUUCAUGCAAGAAGAGGAAAAAAUGUACUUGUAAUCAAAUUUGUAUGGCGACAGAAUUAUUUGCUCAUUUCUUUGGAUAGAUUCACAUAGUUUUUUCUUUA